CCUGGCGCUGCCCUAGGCCGCCGCGUCCCUGCGGGGAUCUCCUGCCCCGCUGGGGCCGGGGGAAGCUCCCCCUCCUGCUCACAGCUCUGUCGCCCCUCGGAGAGCGGAGAGGGGGGCGAGGGACUCUACUGGGAGCGCCUCGUCAGCAGGACGAGGAGAAACGACGGGUUUUUGCCCCAGGUGUCUCUCCAACCCUGACUCGGGGUCUGCGUGGCCCCGAGGGUGCUGUAAGAGCUUGGGCUGCUGCACCUGGGGCAGAGACUCUGUGGGGACUCUACAUAAUGUCCUGACAGAAAUACCCUCCCUGGCAGCGAGCAGCGUUUGCAGAGGGCCAAGUUACUCUGGAUCAGAAAGAUGCCUUUUCUGAGUACAUCAGCUUCCCAAAAGCCUGAUCAGCAUUAUGCAACACUCACCUCAAGUACUCUGUGCAGUUCUGGGCCCCACAAUUUAAGAAGGAUGUUACAGUGCUUGGAUGCAUCCAGAGGAGGGCAACAAAGCUGGUGAAAGGUCUGGAAGGCACAUCUUGUGAGGAGCAGCUGAGGACUUUGGGUUUGUCUAAUUUGAAGAACAGGAGGCUGAAGGGCGACCCCAUGGCUCUCCACAGCUUCCAGAGGAGGGGACAUGGAGAGGGAGGUGCUGAUCUCUUCGCCCUGGAUCCAGCGAUAGGACACGUGGGAACGGCUCGAAGGGCUUUGUCUUGCGCCACAAUCUGGUGGAGGAACAGUGUGAAGUUGGCAGACACUCUGUGAUACUGCAGAUAUAUGGAGGACAGAGCCACUGUGCACAUCAACCUCACCUAUAACAUUCAGGAAGUGAGAGAAGCAGCUGUGGCAAAUGAUCAAAAUAUUUUCAGGUUUGCAAUGGACAGCAAUAGCACACAGAUCCAGAAACGCCUUCCUCCAUCUUUUCAUUGGCAGAGCUCACUCAUGGCCACCUCGUGCACUCAUUUCUGUUGUUGUUUCAGUUCCACAUAAAACACCUUCUGCCAAAGCCUUUGGCACAUCUUUGUUUCCUGGUGACUUAUGCAAAUUGGUUUUGCUUCAUUUUCCUAUUUAUUUAUUUCCAUGCAAUCUUUUAGGGAACCCUCUCAAGAGCUAAAUUCAUCUCAGGUACUUCAUAGACAGACUUAUUGGGCAGCAAAAUGUUGCUCUCCUGGAACCAGAAACACUCACCUGCAGCGCAAUAGGUGAGCAGUAUUUAUGCCUCUGCUUGGUAUGCUUUAUUUGCUUGGACAUUCUCCUUCCAUUACCUGGUCUCUGAUCAAAGGAAAAAACAAAGCAAAAAAAAAUAAAUCACAUGGAUCCAAAAUCUGGAGUUUAGCAAAUCCCUAGAAUAAAGCCAGAAUAAACAGAUCUAAUUCUUUGUGAUUUUAACAAUGUCUUUUAAAGAGUUCUGGCUUCAGUGAGCAUUUCACAGCGUCAAGAUUGCCUCAACCGGCACCUUUCCUUUCCAGCGGAAGACUGGCACUUCACUACCACAUCACAUUUCUGUCCAUCACAGUGUACACAAGGUAUACUGAACAAAGCAAAUACUCUUAAUGAAAACAUCUAACCAGGGAAAGGAAAUGAACAGAAAUCUUUCCUUGCCACAAUACUGCAGGCUGUUAACAGGGUUGAGAGUUACAUGGCAAUCUUCAAGAGUGCUGAAGACUCCACUAGGUAAAUCUGAACUAAGGAUUUGAGAAGUCUAGAGAGGGCUAUAAAGUUUGAAAAAUCUGGCUGUUUAAAUCAUAACCCUGAGGACUAACUUCAGUGACCAGUAGUUCUUAUCUCAGUAGGUACUCCUGUGUUCAGAAGUCCUGUGCUGGACUGAGAGCUAUGGACAAAAGCUUUGUUGAAAAGUUGAUAUAACUGCAACCAAUACAGAAUGGCAAAACUUGAGGUGUUGUGGUUUUUUUUUCAUACAUAGACAGAUAAAUAAACAGGCAUUUACUAUUUUAAUUUGGCUUGUGAAAAAGUCAAACACAAUCUGACAGAAUAAGUAAAAAAGAUUAUUUGCUAUACAGAGGACCAGGUACCAGAACUCCUCAACCAAACCAUAUCUUUAAUCAAAUAAAUUUUUGUACAUGACUUAGUCUUGACAUGCUUCAAAAUUGCUGCACAGAUCUGCUGGACAAUAUAAUUAAAAUUUUGUCAUUUACAAGGCCUCAUUACUGUAGUUUAAAAAUCACUUAAGAGUCACUCAUUUUUAGUUUCCAGGCACCCCCGGUAGCCCGUGAAAUGCUGUUAUUUCUGUUUUUCACGUGGGACUGAGACACUCGGUAUUUAAGAUAAGACUGAGACAGAGUACAGAGCUGAAUUCAAAUGGCCCCAGAUACAUGUUAAUGUCCUAAAUGCUUUCUUGUCUUCAGUGCAGAUGUCCAGCUUCCCAACAUUCAACCGUUCAACAUACUUGGUUCUCUAUGUAGCACUCCCACUUCUUUCUCAGUUCAAUGGGAUACAACCAAAUAAAACUCCAGUUUUAAGGAACAGCUCCAUUGCUGGAAUAAUUGAAAACAGACAAGCAAAAUGUGCUGGUUUACUCAAAGCUGAACAUGUUUGCCUUGAGAAUAUAUAAACUAAUGUAUGGAACAGCUGAGAUAUCAGAUCAGACAGGACAGAUAAAUCUUAAUGGCCUACCUUCGCAGUGCUUUCUACUAUACAGCUACAAACGUGCAAAGAUCCUUGGCAAGAAGCUGUACAGCUCUGAAUGCAAACCUCAAAGCGUAUUCAUUACUUCAGUAUUAACAGCUGGAGGCCGUACUGCUGCUAUCAUUGCUUCGUGGCCACUGACUUUGCCUUAGAAUCUACCAUUUGCUGCAGAACUUGGGCUCCAGACUCUACAUGUCCAUGUAGCACCAAUGUGUUCAGGUAAGGACACACACCUUUAAAAAGCAGAAAGUGCAAAACAAUGCCAUGUUGUCGGUCUAUAGCCUGAAGCAGCUGAGGAGCACGGGAAUGGAUGGUGCCUGUUCAUUUCAGCAGGGUGAAUCUUAUAUUUGUAAAUUUAUUUUCAGUUUUGCAGAUCUCAGUAUUAACAUCAAACAUUUUACAGAAAGUAGUCCUUUAUGGAACCAGAUCAUGUGCUUAUUUGACAAAUACAAAUUCCGUUCCUAUUCCUUUCCAAAAGCCUUAGCAACUGCAAGUACCUCCAACUUCCAGUAAACUUUUACAAUGGAAUUCAGCUAAAGCAAGCCCAUAUCCAGCAGCACAUGGGAUUUUGCCCUGAGCAUAUUCAAGUCAAUGUGAAUCUCAGUUUUUAUCCAAACUCCUGUUACACUUAGCUGCACUGACAUAUGCAACAGUGCAGAGACCUUGCCAUGGCAGUUAGCUCCAACCUCCUAUGAAGGUCAAGUACUUAUAACUGUGAAAAAAACAUUGAUCUGAUCACAUCUCAUGAACAAAAUAUGUAUCAGAAAGUCCUAGCAAAAACCAAGUUAAUCACAAUCCCAAGUUGUCAGUACUGCUUCUGAGUUCCCUUUGCUGUUGCUUCUCAGCAAACAUAUACAGUGAUGUUCUCUGUACUACAUGGCAUAGGAAAUUACAAGCUCAUAUGGGAGAUGCUGGAAUGUGAUCUAUCUAAUGCAUGGAAGAUGAAAACUUGGCCAUGUGAUUAAUUAAAAAUCAAAGACAUCUAGUUAUUUAAGCAUCUAUGCUGAUAGGCCAAUUCUGUACCUUAUUGAUUCCAAGUAAAGUUGUGUGGUAUCCAACUUGCUGUGGAUAACUGUAGGUAUCUCUUCACCAAACCACAGAUAAGCAAGUACAGUUUAAAGAAAAUGCUAGGCACUCAACUUGUCAUUUAGUUGUCCUUCUGCAUUCUCAGUGAUAAAUGACAUUAUCCUCCCUAGCAGAAAAGACAGUGCUGUGAAAAAAGACGCACGUGACCACCCUUCUCUCUUUUCCAAUAUAAAUUCCUUAUUCUUGUGAUGCAAGUGAUCUCCUGAAGUGUGCUUCGAAGGGCCUUAAAACAUACCUAUACCAAUGACCAAGUUAAAUUCAGUUUAUCUUGGAAUAGUUCAUCACAGCUGUUUUUAACUUCCUACAGCAGAAAUCUCAUAUGUAUGUAGAGUUGGUUAAAAUAACCAUAUAUUCUUUGUUCAAUAAAGAGAAAUUACAUUCAGUGCAACUCUUAGAAUAUCCUGUUAGCCUGCUGUCCUGACUUUGGCUGGGAGAGAGUUAGUUUUCUUCCUAGUAGCUGGUAUAGCGCUAUGUUUUAAAUUUAGUACGAGAAUAACGUUGAUAACACACCGAUGUCUUAGUGCUUACACUAGUCAAGGAAUUUUUCAGCUUCUCAUGCUCUGCCAGGUGCACAAGCUGAGAGGGAGCAUAGCCAGGACAACUGACCCAAGCUGGCCAAAGGGAUAUUCCAUACCAUAUGGUGUUAUGUUCAGUAUAUAAACCGGGGGGAGUUGGCCAGGAGGCAGCAAUCACUGCUCAGGGACUGGCUGGGCACUGAUCAGCAAGUGGUGAGCAGUUGCAUCACUUGUUUUUCCUGGGCUUUGUUCUUAUUUUUUCUUGUUUUCCUUCUCACUACAAUUUAUUAUUAUAAUUAUUAUUAUCUUAUUUCAAUUAUUAAACUGCUCUUAUCUCAGCCCAUGAGUUUUCUUACUUUUGACCUUCCAAUUCUCUCCCCCACCCCACUGGGGGUGAGAUGAACAGCUGUGUGGUGCUUAGUUGCUGGCUGGAGUUAAACCACAACACCUGCUCUGGUUCCUUAUACACCUUAGAGAGGAUAAAAUUCCAGUCUGAAGUUGCUUCUGCAGACAUUUGGACAGGUCCUUUAUAUCACUUCCAUAGCAAAUGCAUAUUCUUGAUUUCUUCUAUCUCCCUAACAACUUUAUUAAAUGUGCUGCAAAUAACAGAGAAAGAGAGAUAAUGAUCUGAAAAAAACCCCUUAGUGUGAAGGAUCAUCUCUUUCCCUUAGAAGUCAACCACUGAACUGCAGACCAUGAAUUCUGUCCAAAUGCUGUUGCUUCAUAUUCUUGCUUGUUCCCCAUAUCUACAGGAAAAUUCUCAUUUCACCUGACUUUAUAUUUAGUCAUGUAGCAGUUGCUAUGCCCUACUGCUAUUCAUUUCUGCUCCUCCAAAGGUGCAGAAAAAUGGGAGCUAUCUAAUACUGACUUCAAAAUGAUGCCGUAAAAACUGUGGUAAAGUAAGAUAUCAUUCCCUCAUACUGUCAGAGAGGAAAUUCUGUGAGCUAUCCUAAGUACCUUACUUAAUACUUAAUAUAUGUACGGGAAUAUGUGAAGUCCCUGCAGAUAGAAAACAGAUAAUUUAUUACAAUUGAUUAGCAUGAUACUUUAGUUUACCUGCCAAAAUGCUGUUCUUAAUCAAAUUCUUUAUGUUCACCUACCUUUUCAUAAAUUCCAUCUCUAUGGAGAUUAACAUCAGGAUAUCAGUCUUCAUGGGAUUCAGUACAAGUCACAAUCCCAAGGGGGGAAAAAGAUCUAGAAUAAAACUGCAACUGGCUAUUCCUUCUACAAGAAAGGAAUUGGUACUCAAUUUGUCAUUUAGGCCAAAUUAGUACAUCUCUGGACAGCUAACCAGGCUGCUGUAAUUCCCGAGACAAAUCAGAACGCUUUGGAGCACCCCAUUCCCUUACUUUAGCAUUGCAGAGAAAUCCCUUGCUCCUUGCUUUGCAAUUCCUUUUGCUAGACGCUAAGUGAAGGAACAGUUAGCCUUAUGACACCAGAGCACUUACUUGGAUUUUUUGAAAACCAACCUAAUGGCGUAAGUAACGCACAGUUAUGUGAUGUGACUCACAUACACUGCCUUGGGCAGUAAGAACUAGGAGGGAGGGAAAGAAGCAGAAACCACAUUACAAUCUGUCUUGUGAAGUGUCUGAGACUGUCAUAAGCAGAUGGUGAGGGAGGCCAACAUAGCUGGGAUAUGGGCUGACAUGGAAACAACGACCAACCUGCAACCAUGGCAGCUUUCUUGGGGACACCUAUGAGAAUCCAAGUGUGACCAGUGAUUGACUUUUAAUACCUUUGAAUGCGAGUAGGUCACUUAAAUGGGGAUUUUGGAUUGUAUUUCAAUUUCAAAGGCAUAUCUUUGGAGUACAAAAAAGAAUCAAGAGUAUUAACAAGUCAUUCCUGGGACAGAACUGGUCUUGAUGCGAAGCAAAAUACAUACAUUCUUUUCAGUUUAGAUCUUUAAAACCCCAUAUUCUUUCAAAAAAAGAGAAGAAUAUAGGGACAAUGCACACCCAGGAUAAAUAGCACGUAUACUAUUAUUAAAACAAGUGCAUAGGGAGGGCAAGUUAACUUGUAUUGAUAUUCACUUCGUCAUCCAUACUCCAGGCUUUUUUUGUCCAUUUCCUUAAUAUCCAUAAAUCUCAUUCUCCACCCAGGCUGAUUCCUUGCUCCUCCCCACAUGAUCUCCACACAGCUCAUAGAUAUCAUUGGUCACAAAGCCACUUUCAGUAUUGGCCAAUGUCACAAAGCCACUUGUUGAUGUAUUCAUUGCCACAUCAUCAUAAUCCCUGGAGAAGCUGUCAAGCACCUUAUCUUCCUGCGUACGGAAGGAAGAAUUCUUAGUGUCAGGCCUGGUUCCAGCCAGAUCUGCUUCUGAUUGCUUCUUGAUUACUUUGUAAAUAUCCAGGUUUGGACUGUUCCUCCUGGGGUUAGACAGCCAUGCAUCUUCCUCCUUCGGGCUUACAUCUGUUGGCUCCCGUCUCCUUAGGGAUGGAGGAAAGAGGACAAGUCAUAGUAUGUUUUUUUUACAGAGGCAUAUAUAAAACAAUACCACACCUCUCAAAGUAAUUUAAUGAUGACCCUUGAGGAAAGCUAAUACUCAGGGACUGGACUCAGGAUGACAUUUGUUACUACUUGCCAUUCUGGUUGUGUGGCAGCAGGCUGCACACCUGGCGUAGUCCCACAGCAAGACCUGCUGAGGUACCCCUUGCACUCUGCUGCCAGCUGAGAUGCUGAGGCAGCAAAACUCGACACUGACACUCCCAAAAUCACAGCCAGCAUCCCCACCAGAGGUAUGGUACACAAAGGAAAAGCAAGGUGACUAAAUUGGUAAAUGUUAUUUCCUCCAAACAUGUAUCCCUUUAUUUCUAUUACUAUGGUUUUCACUGUUGAAGAGGAUCUUCUGGUAAUUCAGAUCUUUAUUAAGAAAACCUAAGUGUUAACACUUCAAAAUCAUCAUCUUGUUUUGCACUGCUCCCUAACUACUAUACGUCUGUGAACGUAAUAAAAUGGCACACUGUAAUUCACUCAACAUUUUACUUCCUAAGUAACUCAGCCUGGAGCACCCAUGCCACUUUUUAAACAUUUAUUUGGCUCAAAACAGUCCUCUGCAGAGCAUCUUACAGGAUCCUGAAGCGCACUCCAAAAUGAUUGCCAGGACAAGAUAUCACAGGUUCACUUAUUACACAAAAAUGUCACUUACCUCUUUGCACAAAGCCAAAGCCAGAAGAUGGCUGUAAUGACCACCAGGAGAAGCAGCACAGGAACACUGGGAAUAAGGAUGUAGGCAAGACUCUGAACAGGUUCUAGGGGUAAAAAUGAGAUUCCGGCUUUUAUUCACUUCCAGUUGCAUUUGACAUGCACAGAACUUGAUAGAAAAACUGACAGCUGCAAAAGGCAGCACCAUCACACCUCAAUGGGCUUCUAGUCUUGUUCAUAAUCUAGCAUUAUCUACCACUUCUCAAAGGCAGCAAGUCUAACAGAGACUGAUCAUCAGGUUAAAGUAAAAUAAACUGGAAUCUUCACAAUGAGGAACCAACAAGCCUGUCUCACUGUAAGAGGGCAAUGAUAGUGCAAGUUAAUGAGAUACGCUAUCUUAAAAUCUUGGGAAGCCCCGGCCAAAAGAUUUUAGAGAGCAAAACGUCUUUUAUGGUCUGUGAAUUCAUAGGGACAAAGUCAGUGCAGUAAGAAGAAAUUGAAAGUUUUUCAUAGUUAAUAGACUUAAACAAAACAUUAACAAUUUAGACACUCAAAAGUGAUUCAACAAAUUUCAGACCCAAAAUACUUUUCAUAGCUUUAGAUUUAGAAUAUUUUGGUAGCCAAAGCAAUCAGUGUAGGUUUGUAUAGGAAAAGAUUUGAAGGAGGGUUUUUUAAAGAUAGAUGCAGUUGCCUAAAUUCAGUCUUCUACAUUUAGGGUCAAACACUUCAAACUGAAAUGACUGUUGGCAGCCACAGGUGAGAGAUGCGGGCCUGCAGUUAGAGAGAGAACAGGACAGCUGUUGUAUGCACAACAUACCUUUGGCUUCUACAACUGUUACAUUAGCAUCUUUCUUAUGGUGUUUUACUGGGAAUACUGGGUUGAAGGGCUCUGUUGCAACAUCUGGAAAGAAACAGCUUAAUAUUGCAGAUGUUAUUUGAAAGAGUUUAAGAAUCAUAAAAAGUGAGGGUGAGAGGAUAUGGAAGAGACUGCCAGCUGCAAACAUACGUAAGAUGUACUGGCACUCUCUUGCUUAGAUUUCUGCAGCAUGACUAGCAGUCCCAAAUACUGCAUCAACAACAGCAAGACUGUGUUCCUGCAGACUGGAUUAUAGAAUAGCACAAUGAAAGCACAAACAGCAGGGAAGCUUCUUGCUCAGUACGUUUUCAGUCUGUGAGCAUCCUUGACAAUGAAUGGAACAGAGUACUACUUCUUAAUUUCUACUUAUCUAAAGUUAACAUAUAAUUAAAGAAAGCACCAAACGAAUAUCUGUAACUUACCUUUUUGAGAAUUCUCUAUUGGAGCAUUUGUUGGCUUCUCUAAAAGAAAAAAAGAUACGCAUAAUUUCCUCAUAAGCUUGAGUAGGGAGACCAAGUAUACUGAAUAUAGUCUAAUAACACGAGCACCCUUCUUUAGUGUUCUCUCUCAGAUCCUAUUUGAGAUCUCAAAUACUUUAUAAAAAUCCUCUGAAAAUUCAUAAGUCACAAGGCAAGUAGCUACAGUUAUUCAAUACUGAGAUUGUUUUCCCUAGAACUUGCAUAAAUUUAAGUUAUCUGCCUCCUGCCAGAUCUUUCCAGUGAAGCUAAGAAAGGGUUUUCCUGUCUGUAACAGCAAUCUCUUCAUACAUCCUCUCGGGGACUGGGAGCAAGUUGGUUUUUAAAGCUAUAGAAUGACUCAUUACCAAGAGAAUAUUUGCAAAUGAAGUUAUUUUUCAUGUUGCAUCUGUCAUCGUUCCAUUGAAACAUGUAAGGACCUCCAACUCCUGGUGGGGCAGAUGGCUGGUGGUACAUCACAACACAGAUUUCACUCCCACAGGAUGGCUCAUCUACAUACCAGUUCCUAAGAAAAUACAACAAACAUGUCAAUAAUAAACUUCACCACUGGAAAACUGUGUAGGCCUUUCCAAGUACUGCACAGGAAUGAGGCUUCACUACUUAGCACUCUGCAAUAUAAUUGUUACUGAAGAGGAAUUUUAUGCAUCUCAGAGAAACACUUCUAAGACUGUGUCGCGAUUUUCAAAAAUGUUCAAUACCCACUAAUUUUGGUGCGACCAACGUUCUGCAUGCCAAGCACUUUAUGAAAGCUGAUCCAUACAAUAAAAAUAAUUCCAGAUAUAUCAAGGUAUUCAACAUGGGAAAAAACCCCACACAUUAAAGCAGUAUUUUUUCAACCA